GACGAACGCUGGCAGCGUGCUUAACACAUGCAAGUCGAGCGGAAAGGCUCCUUCGGGGGUACUCGAGCGGCGAACGGGUGAGUAACACGUGAGUAAUCUGCCCUGUGCUCUGGGAUAGCCACCGGAAACGGUGAUUAAUACCGGAUAUGACCGCUACACGCAUGUGUUGGAGGUGGAAAGUUUUUCGGCACAGGAUGUGCUCGCGGCCUAUGAGCUUGGUGGUGAGGUAAUGGCUCACCAAGGCUUGGACGGGUAGCCGGCCUGAGAGGGUGACCGGUCACACUGGGACUGAGACACGGCCCAGACUCCUACGGGAGGCAGCGGUGGGGAAUAUUGGACAAUGGGCGGAAGCCUGAUCCAGCAACGCCGCGUGAGGGAUGACGGCCUUCGGGUUGUAAACCUCUUUCAGUACCGACGAAGCGAGAGUGACGGUAGGUACAGAAGAAGGACCGGCCAACUACGUGCCAGCCGCCGCCGUAAUAC
rnacentral:rRNA from 1 species